rnacentral:rRNA from 1 species
GACGAACGCUGGCGGCGUGCCUAAUACAUGCAAGUAGAACGCACAGUUUAUACCGUAGCUUGCUACACCAUAAACUGUGAGUUGCGAACGGGUGAGUAACACGUAGGUAACCUGCCUGGUAGCGGGGGAUAACUAUUGGAAACGAUAGCUAAUACCUCAUAAUAUUAAUUAUUGCAUAAUAAUUGAUUGAAAGAUGCAAUUGCAUCACUACCAGCUGGACCUGCUUUGUAUUAGCUAGUAGGUGAGGUAACGGCUCAACUAGGCGAAGAUACAUAGCCGACCUGGGAGGGUGGUCCGCCCAACCUGGAAUGGGAACACGCCCCGACUUCUACCGGAGGCCGCAGUAGGGAAUCUUCGGCAAUGGACGAAAGUCUGAACGGGCCACGCCGGGUGAGUGAAGGAGGUUUUCGGAUCGUAAAGCCCUGUUUUAAGAGAAGAACGGGUGUGGGAGUGGAAAGUUCACAUUGUGACGGUAUCUUACCAGAAAGCGACGGCUAACUACGUG